rnacentral:rRNA from 1 species
AUACGGAGGGGGCUAGCGUUGUUCGGAAUUACUGGGCGUAAAGCGCACGUAGGCGGAUUAAAAAGUUAGAGGUGAAAUCCCAGGGCUUAACCCUGGAACUGCCUUUAAAACUAGUAGUCUAGAGUUCGAGAGAGGUGAGUGGAAUUCCAAGUGUAGAGGUGAAAUUCGUAGAUAUUUGGAGGAACACCAGUGGCGAAGGCGGCUCACUGGCUCGAUACUGACGCUGAGGUGCGAAAGCGUGGGGAGCAAACAGGAUUAGAUACCCGAGUAGUCC